UACGAAGGGUGCAAGCGUUACUCGGAAUUACUGGGCGUAAAGCGUGCGUAGGUGGUUUGUUAAGUCUGUUGUGAAAGCCCCGGGCUCAACCUGGGAAUGGCAAUGGAUACUGGCAGGCUAGAGUGCGGUAGAGGGUAGUGGAAUUCCCAGUGUAGUGGUGAAAUACGUAGAGAUUGGGAAGAACACCAGUGGCGAAGGCGGCUAUCUGGACGGUUUCUGACGCUAAGACGCGAAAGCGUGGGGAGCAAACAGG
rnacentral:rRNA from 1 species